rnacentral:lncRNA from 1 species
AAAAAUAUGUGCUGCAUAUCUGACAAAGAUAAAUUGGAUUAUUCAAAAUAUUCUUGAUGAAAUGUUACAUUUUGCAACUAAUUAUCAAUCUGUUUUAUCUGCAGACCAGCUGGGCGUUUUUGUGCAUGCAAGACCUGCCUUCGCAGUGAUCUUAAGAUGUCACUGCAGCGUUUACAUCUUUUAUUUCAAGAUUUAAAUAACUAGGAAGUAGCUAAUGUAAUUCACUGCUGAGAAGAAAGGCCGGCUCCUUGAUGCUUUUCCAAAGCCAUCUCUCCCUAAUGAACUUCUUGGACUUUUUUUGUACCCAGGACUGUGCCCUUCCUGCAGUUGUACCAAGAGGUCACGCGGCUUCCGGUCACGGCUCACAGAUCCACGCUCCUGCGCCGGCAGGGACCUGACAGACAAACGCGCUGCCCCCGGAAUUUAAAAAUCCUACAGACUAAGUUCCACAACCAGAGAGAUACUAAGAAGUCGAUGGCUUCGAAUGGCGGCUGCUGCUUUCCCCACCGGUCGGAGGCCCUCCACGCCAUCAGCGUGGUGAGUGCCGCUCACGGGGCUCUGCAUUGCAGGACACGCUGACACCCUGUCCCUUCGGCCAGAGGUGAAGUCGUGUGCACCGGCCAUGUGAACGGGACGAGCUCCCCCAGGUUUGCAGAUCCAGGCUUUUUAGCAUCCUGCCCCCUCCUUCUAUUGAGUGGAAAAAUAGAGGAAAGCAGGCAAGAAUAAGAGAAACAUAAACACAGGAGGAAGCAUAGGUAGCCAGCUCUAACAGGCAGGAGGAUUUCCCGUUAUUCAGAAAGAGAGCUAUGAGGGCGCGCACGCUGCAUGUUUCAAUUCACGUUGGGAUUGAAGCUGGCAAAUUCAAUCAAAUUCAGCUUUGAUCGGCAGUGGCCACCUCUGUGGUCACCUGGGCUCUGAAAUCCGGUCCAGGCCAGCGUAGUCC